CCUACGGGAGGCAGCAGUGAGGAAUAUUGGUCAAUGGUCGGGAGACUGAACCAGCCAAGCCGCGUGAGGGAGGAAGGUACAGAGUAUCGUAAACCUCUUUGUCAUGGAACUAAGACUGGGACGCGUCCCCGGAUGAGUGUACCUGAAGAAAAAGCAUCGGCUAACUCCGUGCCCGCAGCCGCGGUAAUACGGAGGAUGCGAGCGUUUUCCGGAUUUAUUGGGUUUAAAGGGUCCGCAGGGGGUCUGUUAAGUCCGCGGUCAAAUCCCGGGGUUAACCCCCGGCCCGCCGUUGAAACUGGCAGUCUCGAGUUGGAGAGAAGUAUGCGGAAUGCGCGGUGUAGCGGUGAAAUGCAUAGAUAUCGCGCAGAACUCCGAUUGCGAAGGCAGCAUGCUGGCUCCACACUGACGCUGAGGCACGAAAGCGUGGGUAUCGAACAGGAUUAGAUACCCGAGUAGUC
rnacentral:rRNA from 1 species